CAACUCGUCCGGCUGGGUCCCCUCACCCAGCACAAAGCUGGGCUUUCAGUGGGCCCCUCACAAAUAUAUGUCAAAUGAAGAAAGGCAUUUCCUGGGAGGCUAUUUUUUGACAGGCAGCUCUGAAUCCAGUAAUCACAUAUUCUGAAAAUGACCAUUUUUUGUUUGAAGUUGUCUUAGGAAUUACAGAAGACACUGAAAAGGUUCUGCUCCUGAUUUGAACAUGUGCCCCUUUGAGACCCUAAAUCCGAGAGGCAGGCCCUGACCGGUUGUGGCCACGUUCCCUUCUGGGGGCCUGUGUUUGGAGGAGAGGUGAGCCCUGACCGGCUGUGGCCACGUUCCCUUCUGGGGGCCUGUGUUUGGAGGAGAGCCUUUGAGCAUCACUUAGAGCAUCGCCCCCUAAACUCUGGUGUGACCUCUGGGCCUCCCGUAAAGGUGCGCAUCGUGACCCAGGAGGUCUGGGUGAGGCCUGAGGGCCUGCCUCUCACAGGCUCCCGGGGCAGUGCUCCCACGAGGCUCUAUGGGAGGGUCCUGUCCUUGCCUUUCAAGCUUCUUGGGGCUGUGCUCCCAACUUGCACUGUGGCCCCGAGUCACGUAUGCUUUCUCCUCUUCCAGUCUCUCUGUUCCUCCCUCUGACAGUG
ensembl:lncRNA